UACGGAGGGUGCAAGCGUUAUCCGGAUUCACUGGGUUUAAAGGGUGCGUAGGUGGCCAACUAAGUCAGACGUGAAAUCCCUCGGCUUAACCGGGGAACUGCGUCUGAUACUGGAUGGCUUGAGUUCGGGAGAGGGAUGCGGAAUUCCAGGUGUAGCGGUGAAAUGCGUAGAUAUCUGGAGGAACACCGGUGGCGAAGGCGGCAUCCUGGACCGACACUGACACUGAGGAGCGAAAGCCAGGGGAGCAAACGGG
rnacentral:rRNA from 1 species